CUCCCAAACCCCUGUGAACAUACCUUAAUGUUGCCUCGGCGGAUCAGCCCGCGCCCCGUAAAACGGGACGGCCCGCCAGAGGACCCAAACUCUAAUGUUUCUUAUUGUAACUUCUGAGUAAAACAAACAAAUAAAUCAAAACUUUCAACAACGGAUCUCUUGGUUCUGGCAUCGAUGAAGAACGCAGCAAAAUGCGAUAAGUAAUGUGAAUUGCAGAAUUCAGUGAAUCAUCGAAUCUUUGAACGCACAUUGCGCCCGCUGGUAUUCCGGCGGGCAUGCCUGUUCGAGCGUCAUUUCAACCCUCAAGCCCCCGGGUUUGGUGUUGGGGAUCGGCUCUGCCCUUCUGGGCGGUGCCGCCCCCGAAAUACAUUGGCGGUCUCGCUGCAGCCUCCAUUGCGUAGUAGCUAACACCUCGCAACUGGAACGCGGCGCGGCCAUGCCGUAAAACCCCAACUUCUGAAUGUUGACCUCGGAUCAGGUAGGAAUACCCGCUGAACUUAAGCAUAUCAAUAAGCGGAGGAAAAGAAACCAACAGGGAUUGCCCUAGUAACGGCGAGUGAAGCGGCAACAGCUCAAAUUUGAAAUCUGGCUUUCGGGCCCGAGUUGUAAUUUGUAGAGGAUACUUUUGAUGCGGUGCCUUCCGAGUUCCCUGGAACGGGACGCCAUAGAGGGUGAGAGCCCCGUCUGGUUGGAUGCCAAAUCUCUGUAAAGUUCCUUCGACGAGUCGAGUAGUUUGGGAAUGCUGCUCUAAAUGGGAGGUAUAUGUCUUCUAAAGCUAAAUAUUGGCCAGAGACCGAUAGCGCACAAGUAGAGUGAUCGAAAGAUGAAAAGCACUUUGAAAAGAGAGUUAAAAAGUACGUGAAAUUGUUGAAAGGGAAGCGUUUAUGACCAGACUUGGACUUGGUUAAUCAUCUGGGGUUCUCCCCAGUGCACUUUUCCAGUUCAGGCCAGCAUCAGUUUUCGCCGGGGGAUAAAGGCUUCGGGAAUGUAGCUCUCUUCGGGGAGUGUUAUAGCCCGUUGUGUAAUACCCUGGUGGAGACUGAGGUUCGCGC
rnacentral:rRNA from 1 species